UCGUGGAUCAACGACAUUCGAAUGGUUGGUUGCAAAACAAGACAACAAGCGCGGAAAACUGCAAAACAAACUGUUGCCUCAUGAUGCCGUUCGGUCGUUCUUUCGGUCGCCGAAGCACAGCUCCGUUGAGGUUGACAAGGAACAGAUCAAAUUAAAACUGAUCAAUCCGUGGGUGGAAAUUUAGGCAACCGACGACGAGUGCGGGAAGUGCCCGAAGAUUUCGAACACGAAAGUGAGGCGGAAGAAAAACAAACUGAGUAUAUGAAGACGACAGAUCCACGGGUGAGUAAUUGGAGCUUCUGGGGAGUUGAACGAACACGACAUAUGACAACUGUCAAAUGUCGACACGAUUCAGCGAUUUCAGUUGCUCCGUUACGCGAAGCGAAAACCAGCUUGUUGUUUAAAAAGUUGCAGUGUGUCCAACACCCGAUUGUUUUGGAUUCUUCACGUUGCUGGUGUUAUCUAUUUGUUUUCGCAGGUAGCCGUAAAUAUUUAAAAUACUGGGUUUUCUUAAAUUUUUGGAAUCAACGAGCGUCAAUGAGCAAAACUCAUCUCGCUUGCUCUCUUUUCUCGCACUCGGACAUCAUAUCAGUUCUGCUGUUAAAUUGGAUGAGACCUGUUGGCAAUUGUUAUCAUCGACCUCAACAACAACAUCAAAGCCGAAUAUUCAUGGUUCGAAGGUCAUGUUGUGCAUCUGGUGGAACCAAAAGGGUGUUAUGUACUAUGGGUUGCUACAACCAGGCGAUACCAGAACGGACGAUCUGUAUAGGCUGUAAUUGAUGCGUUUGAGCCAUGCAUUACGAGAAAAACGGCCGGAAUAAAGCAAUGACAUGAUCAAGUUAUUCUCCAGCAUGGCAACGCUUGGCAUCAUGUCGCAAUAGUUGUAAAAAAAAAUUUAAAAACGCUCAAGUGGAACAUCUAGCCGCACCCAUCGAACUCUUCUGAUAUUGCUCCUUCUGAUUACCUUUUCAGAAAUCUAAAAUUGACUACAAACUUGGAUCACCUCAGAGGACGAGACAUUUUUUUUUAAACGGAAUUCGAAAAUUGUCUGAGGAGAAAGUAGUAGCUAAUU